rnacentral:siRNA from 1 species
GGUUGGGAACUGCGGAUCAAUAU